rnacentral:rRNA from 1 species
CCUACGGGUGGCAGCAGUGGGGAAUAUUGCACAAUGGGGGAAACCCUGAUGCAGCGACGCCGCGUGAGUGAAGAAGCGUUUCGGCGCGUAAAGCUCUGUCAGCGGGGAAGAAACACGGUUCGCGAGAGCCGCGGACGGUACCCGACCAAGAAGCCCCGGCUAACUACGUGCCAGCAGCCGCGGUAAUACGUAGGGGGCAAGCGUUAUCCGGAUUCACUGGGUGGAAAGGGAGCGUAGACGGCGAGACAAGUCUGGAGUGAAAGCCCGGGGCCCAACCCCGGAACUGCUCUGGAAACUGUGCGGCUAGAGUACUGGAGGGGCAGGCGGAAUUCCUAGUGUAGCGGUGAAAUGCGUAGAUAUUAGGAGGAACACCAGUGGCGAAGGCGGCCUGCUGGACAGUAACUGACGUUGAGGCUCGAAAGCGUGGGGAGCAAACAGGAUUAGAUACCCCUGUAGUC